CCUACGGGUGGCAGCAGUGGGGAAUAUUGCACAAUGGGGGAAACCCUGAUGCAGCGACGCCGCGUGAGUGAAGAAGUAUUUCGGUAUGUAAAGCUCUAUCAGCAGGGAAGAAAAUGACGGUACCUGAGUAAGAAGCCCCUGCUAACUACGUGCCAGCAGCCGCGGUCAUACGUAGGGGGCAGGCGUUAUCCGGAUUUACUGGGUGUAAAGGGAGCGUAGACGGCUGAGAAAGUCUGGAGUGAAAGCCCACGGCUAAACCGGGGAACUGCCUUGGAAACUGUGUGGCUGGAGUGCAGGAGAGGUAAGCGGAAUGCCUAGUGUAGCGGUGAAAUGCGUAGAUAUUAGGCGGAACACCAGUGGCGAAGGCGGCUUACUGGACUGUAACUGACGUUGAGGCUCGAAAGCGUGGGGAGCAAACAGGAUUAGAUACCCGAGUAGUC
rnacentral:rRNA from 1 species